rnacentral:lncRNA from 1 species
GUCCAUGUGCGACAGUACCCCUUCUGGCUGGAGGCCAAGGUGGGGAUCUCCAAACACAUCCACCGACUCCAGGAAGCCAGCAUCUUGGCCCCUUGCCAGUCAGCUUGGAAUACACCCCUGCUUCCUGUGAGGAAGCCUGGCACCUCAGACUUCAGACUGGUACAGGAUUUGCAGGAGGUAAACAGCUGGGUGGAGACCAUCCACCCAAUGGUACCAAACCCCCAUACUUCGUUGAGUCUCAUCCCUCCUGCUCAUGUGUGGUACUCAGUAUUAGACCUCAAAGAUGCAUUUUUCAGCCUGCCCCUAGCACCAGUGAGCCAGCCCCUCUUUGGCUUUGAAUGGACUGACCCAGACACCAGUACUACCGGACAGCUGACAUGGACCCGGUUGCCACAGGGAUUCAAGAACUUCCCCGCUCUGUUUGGAGAAGCUCUCAGCAAAGAUUUAUGAGAGGUUUGACUCCAAGACACUGGAACCCCAUUGGAAGGGACCAUUUCCCCUUGUCCUGGUGACCCCCUCAGUGGUGAAGGUAGCUGGACACUCUGCCUGGAUCCACUGUGGUCAUUUGAAGGUGGCACCCCCUGAGGAAGCAAUGUUGACAUGGCAGAUCGACUGGAACAAAGAGGACCCCCUCAAGAUAAGAUGAAUCAAGGACUGAGAUGGGUAAAGUGGGGAUUUAUAGGAACCUUGGUCCUGUUGGCUCGGGUACGAGGAGAUGUUCAAUGGCUGGUGCCUUCCAGCCAUGCCCCCAAAAUUGGACAUGGUCUCUCAAAAAUUCACUUACUGGAGCCCUGAUUGCCAUUGUCACAACAGACAGACAGCCCAUCUUUCAGGUUGACUUGUGUGAUAUAGGACUAGUUACUGGGACUGUGGGAGUGUCUGAUGUUGCAGAACCAUGUUCAGAUCCCUCUUCAACCCCUGGGGGAAAACGGGGAUGGUCUACACUUAACAGAAAAAAGGGUCUCCAGACCAUAGAUAUUUAUGCAUGGCCUAUAUGUAAAGACCCAAAAUGUAAUGGGGGGCCAGGAUACCAUUGUUACUAUUGGGGCUGUGAGUCCAUAGCCCCAUGGAAAAAUAAUGACCAGUAUUUAGCCUUGGAGCAGCGAACAGCUAGUAGCUCAUGCUCCCUGGGACAUUGUAACCCCAUUCGGUUAAUGCUAAAACAAUGGCAAAACCCAUACAAAGAAUGGGAGGAAGGUAAAUCUUGGAUGGUGGCACUGAAUACAAAUGGGCAAGACCCAAUGACAGACAUCAUCAUUCAGUGAAGUCUGGUAGUGACACCACCCAAACCAGUGGGAAACCUUUAUAAGAUAUUGAGCCCCCCAAAAGGCAGUGGCCAACCCCACAGGCGCAGAGGAAAUUCCACUUCCUCACUGCUGAGAAAGAAAACACGCACUCACCCCGCUUGCUGCCUGGGUAACACCCUACCCAACAAGGUCCCUGUAACUGCCCCAGAGUCACCAAUCCAACCAUACUUCAAAAUGCUGGGUGC